AUGGCAUCUGAAACCCACAAUGUUAAAAAAUGAAACUUUUGUAAUAAUAUUGAGGAUCAUUCCAUUGAUCUUCCUAGUAAAAAGAUCUCUAAUUUCACUAAAAAGAACAUGAAGGAGGUUAAGAAAUCUCCAAAACAGCUGGUUACUUACAUGAAUAGAACAGUUGGACAAGCUGUGAAAAGCCCAGAUAAACUACGGAAGGUGAUCUAUCACAGAAAGAAAGUUCAUCAUCCCUUUCCAAAUCCUUGUUACAGAAAAAAACAGCCCCCUAGAAGUUGGGGCUGUGACAUGGCAAAUAAAGAAAAUGAACUGGCUUGUGCAGGCCACUUGCCUGAAAAAUUACGCCAUGAUAGUCGAACAUAUUUGCUUAACUCCAGUGAUUCUGGUUCUUCUCAGACAGAAAGCCCAUCAUCAAAAUAUAGUGGGGUUUUUUUCUGAGGUUUCUCAGGACCAUGAAACAAUGGCCCAAGUUUUGUUCAGCAGGAAUUUGAGACUGAACGUAGCUUUAACUUUCUGGAGAAAGAGAAGUAUAAGAGAACUUGUAGCUUAUUUGGUGAGGAUAGAAGAUCUUGGAGUUGUGGUAGAUUGCCUUCCUGUAUUCAUCAAUAGUUAACAGGAAGAAAAACAAUAUAUCUCACUUGGCUGCUCUGUAGACUUGUUGCCUCUAGUAAAGUCACUACUUAAAAGCAAAUUUGAAGAAUAUGUUAUAGUUGGCCUGAACUGGCUUCAAGCAGUCAUAAAAAGGUGGUGGUCAGAACUGUCAUCCAAACCAGAAAUUAUAAAUGAUGGAAAUAUUCAGAUUUUAAAACAACAAUUAAGUGGAUUGUGGGAACAGGAAAACCAUCUUACUUUGGUUCCAGGAUAUACUGGUAAUAUAGCUAAGGAUAUAGAUGCUUAUUUAUUACAGUUGCAUUGAGAGAUUUCAUCUACUAAAGAGCAUUUGAGUAUUCAAAACAUCCCUGUACUAUAUAAUGUACAAAAAAAGGUCUUGUCUAAGAACUGUAAACUGUGGAAGAAAUCAAAACUACUUUUUCUUUUAAAAAGCCACGUAAUGAAACCACUA